UCCCCUUGUGUGCCUUGGAAUUGGAGGCAAAGGAUUACGCUACCAUGAAAAUACUAUACCGCGCCUGAAAUUUACGACCCUCUACAUUACCAUGGCUACUCGCCGCGUUGAAGCAGGGACCAGUUCCUGUAGCUGUAUUUCCACUGGAUUCCACAUGGAUGCAUUUUAAACAGUUUCUCUUUAUAAUGUGAAUAGAAUUUUUUUAACUGUGUGGACAAUCGAAGUCUGUGCAUAUAGUAACGUCUUGAUCUGGUCACCAUGUGUGAACACAAUACUUCAUUAGAUACACUUUAUGACAUACUAGUAUAUAGCAGUAAGACAACAUAUAUCAUUCUGUGCAUUUAUUUAUUUAGGGACCAGUAUAUCUGUAUUAUGACGAACCCAUGUUUGUAGACAGACCGCGUUUCUAUUUUUAGCUGCAGGGCGUUGGCUGGCAAGCACGAAACUCUUCUCAGAGUUUGCACUUUCUCCAACGUACACUCAAAAGCGAUCUCUUCAUUCGUCACUCAUUGUUCUCUGUUUUUUACAUAACAAGUGAAGGGUCGUUCUUUUUAUUCUAUAGUUAUGUGCUCUGUUACGUCUACGGCUCAUUUGCGAUAUAGUGUGUUUAUAUUUAGUAUGUACACAGAACCGCCAUAGGUUUCUAUAGCCCAUGAUGCUGACAACAUUGGGAUUUUAUUUACCGGUUUAUCUCAACUAAUGUAUUGUUUUAAAGAAAAAUAACAUUGUUGGUGGCGGUAAAUAACACGUACUUUACAAACCAGUACGGUUGUGAUAUAUCUGCUAGUGUGAUAGCACUCUAACAAUCGAGCAAUAUUUCAUAUAUAAUUCGUUUUGGUGAACACGACAUUUGAAAUACAGCUAUUUGUAUAUUGUUGUUCAUGGAUGGUCUAUCAUUUGUCGAGACGCCGUGAUUGUUCACGUCCUAUUAUACCCGAUAGUGUUUGAAUAGUCUGGGUCUCUAGAACCGGGUGUGGACCUACCUCCCACCCUCACAUGAGGGGUCAUAUAUCGCACGUGUUGGGCAUACAGAAUCACUCGCAAGAAGUCAGAGUUGUUGUUUUUUAUCGAUGAUCGUUCUUUCUAGGUGUCCCCAUUUUGAAUGGAAAGGGACAUGGGGCUUGACCUCGUCACCUAUACUUAUCUCGCACUCUUGUGCCAUACUGGAACGCCCGUAAUUAAAUCUCCAAACAAAACCAUGAUCUAAACUACCUACUCCAACUUUUCCCUGCAUUUUUUGUUGUUGUAGGAAUGCGCGCUGUCGUAUUGCAUCUCUAUUUUUACAGAUAUGCUUUCGAAAUUUCUUCAAUUAUUUGGGCGGGGGAGGCAAAACCCAAGUCUCCGUUCUCGGGCGUUCCAUGGAUGCCAAUGUCAGUACAAAUUGAGCUAUUAUCGCUGUCUUUAUUUUUGGUGUAAGUUGAUAUCACUCGACUUCUGUCUUAACGUAAUGCUACAGACUAGGCCACAGACGCUGUGUAACUACCUCCAGGCUAUACUAAUGUUUACGUUAAAUGGAGUAUUCGCUUACUCCUGUUUCUGUCACUGAAACCGACGUUCUCCUGGCAGGAUCUUAAAGUGCACAUCGUCUCGUGCACUCUUUCGUUGUUCCUAUGGAAACGCCCGACCUCCGGGUUAAAUACAACUAGUCUUAUAUUAAAGAUGUAAUUCUGCUCACCAUGAA